UACGAAGGGGGCUAGCGUUGCUCGGAAUCACUGGGCGUAAAGCGCACGUAGGCGGCUUUCUAAGUCAGGGGUGAAAUCCUGGAGCUCAACUCCAGAACUGCCUUUGAUACUGGGAAGCUCGAGUCCGGAAGAGGUGAGUGGAACUCCGAGUGUAGAGGUGAAAUUCGUAGAUAUUCGGAAGACCACCAGUGGCGAAGGCGGCUUGCCAGAAUGCGCUCGGCGGUGAGGGAUGAAAGCUGGGGGAGCAAACCGG
rnacentral:rRNA from 1 species